rnacentral:rRNA from 1 species
UACGGGGGGGAGCAAGCGUUUGUUCGGAUUUACUGGGCGUAAAGGGCGCGUAGGCGGUCGUGACAAGUCACUUGUGAAAUCUCCGGGCUUAACUCGGAACGGUCAAGUGAUACUGUCGGACUAGAGUACAGAAGGGGCAACUGGAAUUCUCGGUGUAGCGGUGAAAUGCGUAGAUAUCGUAAGGAAGACCAGUGGCGAAGGCGGGUCUCUGGACAGUUCCUGACACUGAGGCACGAAGGCCAGGGGAGCAAACGGG